AGUUCAUUCCUAUCAUGAUGGUCUCUCUGGGAGAGUCCUGACCAGGAGAGUGAGGUUUGGGUGCAAGGGUCAGGUGAGAGCUGGAGGAGGCAGCACAGCAGAACACAUGAAACUGCAGAGCAGAGACCACUCUGACCCCAUCUACACUGGGGCUGUGUUAUUGAUGAAAAGUGGAGAGAGCCCCUUACUAUAACCACUCAGACCCUCCAAACAUCUGCUACUGAGAAGAAGGGGGUGGAGACCCGAAUGAUUGACCUGCCUGUCUGCACUAACCCACCGCUCAGACGCCAGAGCCUCUUGUCUCUGGUUCACGUGGAAGUGAGUGAGUUGGUGCUGGGGGAGAAGUAUUUCCCCUCUGCGUUGGUGUCUUUUUACCCUGUGAAACGCCUGCCUUCCAUCCCGAGAGGAAAGAAAACGAUGACAACUUGUGUUCUGGUGGAAGAUUUAGCAGCUACUACAAAACAGAGGUUUGAAAACCUAUUUUGCAGCUCUCAAAUUUCAAUUUAGAUGACUUGACUUUGAGGGCCCAGUGUAGAUGUGAGGGCUGAGUAGAGAAAGCCCGCAGCCCCCUCUCCCCAGGAGCUUACCCCUGCCUCGGGGCUCCCUUUUUGUCUCUCUUGCUGUGUUAUGAAAGGAGAGCAUCUGGGAAUACUCAAAGGCUGGCUUCUGCCUGUGUGUCCCACCCCAUCUCAAGGUGGCUAGUGCUGCUGAGGGACUCCGGCCUGAGGAAGGAAGCGCCCGUGGCCUGGGGCAGAGCCGUGCAGUUGCAUGGCUUUCCUGCCGCUCAAGUCACUGAGGGCUGUUCUUGGUACUGUCUAGAAAAGUUGCUUGCAUCCCUGGAGUCACAGGAAUCUCAUAACCCAGCCUAUGCCCCCAGGCCCCUGCCGUGUCAGUAGAGCCUGCUGAACUUCCUGGGCUAGCGAGACCAGCUGACAGCCACAGUGCUCAAAAGUCAGGGUCUAACCCCGCCAGACUGGCGUCUCUGUAGGAUUCCCUGUCUUUGAAAGGAUACUGGAAGGGCAGUUGUUUUUCUAAACUUACUCCGAACUCUGAGCCACUGCACCUGGCCUUAAUAUCAUUUUAAAAACUAAACACGCUGGCGCGGUGCCUCCCACCUGUAAUCCCAGCACUUCGGGAGGCCAAGGUGGGUGAAUCAUGAGGUCAGGCGUUUGAGACCAGCCUGGGCAGCAUGGUGAAACCCCAUCCCUAUUAAAAAUACAAAAAUUAGCUGGGCGUCGUGGCGGGCCCCUGUAAUACCAGCUACUCAGGAGGCCGAGGCAGGAGAAUCGCUUGAACCUGGGAGGCAGAGGUUAUGGUGAGCAGAGAUCGCGCCACUGCACUCCAGCCUGGGUGAUAGAGCAAGACUCUGUCUCAAAACAAACCAUAUUUAAUUGACUUGGUCUCUUAUAUGGGCUUGUUCUAUUUAAUUUUCUGAGUAAACACAAGGCUUGGCUUUGUUACCCAAAAAACAUGGGCAGCUCUUAGGAAGCUACAUCCUCCAGACUCCUGUCACAGUGAAUUGUUGUCUUUCAGUGUUUAAAAGCAAUAAAGACAAAGUCAAAUCAAACAUGUAACAACUGCUCCCAUUCAGUGGCCAUUGGAGAUGUUUAUUAC
rnacentral:lncRNA from 10 species